AUCGGUCGGCAUUGAGUUUCUCACUAUAAUAACGGUUUUAUAGUGUGAAACUCUACGUCGGUCGGCACACCUACCCAUAGAGUUUCUCACUACCCACCGUAUCCAUGCUCUAGUACCUCCAUGCUCUAGUGGCUGUGGUCAUUGACAUCGCCAGGCCAGCGCUUGUGCUUGCCCGACGUUGCCCGUGUGAACGUCGUGCUGAGGAACUGAACGUGUCCCCGAAGCUUGUGUUUUCACAAUGGCUUAAUAUGUGGUUUGGUGCCCGUUUGCGUUGUGCGACCUUCCUUCAACGAUCGAUGACGUGCCGUCGUGCGCGAGUUCGCUCAAACAGGGUCUAGCCGUUCAUGACUCGAGUGGCAAUACAACGACAGUCGCGCCAUGCCAAAGGACGAACCUCCGCGCUGCGCCGUGUGCGGCCUCCAGCGCGCCCCGAACGCCGUGCUGCUCCCGUUCCCCGACCGGCGACAGUCGAAGCUUUACGGCGCCUGGCUCGACUUCGUGCGAGGCUGCCCCGGCAAAGACAACUGGCUGCCCGACAGUCGCACCGGCUUCGUCUGUACGCUGCACUUCACCUGCAGGUGGCUCAGGCGCUCGGCCUUCUACAACAAUUCACUGUUACUCAGAACGGCCACGGUGCCCACGCUCUACACGUGCCCGGAGAAACGCCGCCGCAUCGCCGAGGCAAACAGCAGCAGCAGCAGCGCUGCAGCUGCCCAGGCGGUGCAGGGACAAGACAUCUCGCUUGCUUCUACGAACACCAAGCACUGCCAAAUGCCAGAUAUGUACGACACAAACCAGCUCCCGGUAAAAACUGGCCAAGGCUGCUCUCACGCCUGGGACAGGAAGCCCGACAACUGCCCGACAAUGAGCGGCUACUCCACCAGCUCGGUGGACCUGCCCAUGCCACACCUGAAGCAGGAGCAAAGCAACCGUAUUGCCCUAGCCAGUGGCAGUAGCAGCACCAGCAGCACCAGUACCACUGUGGUUGCCAAGGCACGCUCUGUCCCCAAGAAACCUGUGAGCAGUGCAGAAAUCUCGAGUGCACACAGUCUUCCAGAUACAGGUCGUGUUCCCGUCUAUGCCAGUGUACGACGUACAAUUGGGCCCCGUCGUACACUGUCUGGAGACACAGAUGCGACGGCGGGAGCGGCACGGAGCACGGGUACCACGGAAUUGGAGAGGCCUCGAUUAGGCGUCCUCACCAGGUUGGCACAGAACCUUGUGAAGAACGUGAAGGACUCUGAGCAGCAGGAAACAGGCCUUGCUGCCAGCAGAGAUGACAACGUUCGUGAUUUGGAUGCUGGAGGAGAGGACUUUACUGCUGCAUCUUUUGGGCUCUGGAGCGAGGAAGAGACCAAGCUGCUUCUAGAUUACUACACAACGUACACGCGCCAGGUUGGGCCCCACGACCGUUUCAAGACAAAAAAACUCAUGUAUGAGGAAAUUGCUCGCGAAAUGUCUCGCGUGUUAAAUACACAGCGCACCCCAGAGCAAUGCAGGUCUAGAUUGACCACUUUGCGAAAACAGAGGAGGAAGGCUGACAAGAAUUACGAAGCAUCCGGCGAUGUCGGGUGUUGUGCUCCCCGUGAAGCCGAGUCUGCCGUCGACGACGUCCUUGUGCCAGAGGUGAUUCUGGAGUGUGAAAAGUGACCUAACUGUGCAACCCACGUGGCACUUCCGAUGGGACAGAAAUCGUCUGCCCGUGUGACAACCACCCCAUCCACAAAUUGCUUUGACGGCUAGUGCCACACCGUGAUCAACCUUGCAAGUGUGCCGUGCUGCCCUUUCCAUCUGCUGAAUUAAACAUCAUGCUUGGUCCCUGUCCAAGAAAAUCUAUUACUACGGCGCUCUACUCUGUAGACUCGCGUCGAAGCAACCACAACUCGUGGAAACACUACAGCACCUCUGUUGUCACAUGACAUCGGCAGAGCACAGACCACCAUAGAAGGUCACGACGGGAGUAUGAACUCCUUUUGACGCAGCAUCAAUUUUCUAUGCAACACAUUGGUACACAGUUAAUAUUUUGAGUCUCGAUCUAGGAGCAGGAGUCACGUGGCGAUAUGUACAUAUAUAGGAGUUACUUUUUACACACUCAGAUGAAUGCAGACAACUACCGAUUCAUGUAACGAACUAGUUGGACCUAUACGACUACUUAUAGGUAAUACGAUUGUGGUGUGCUCUGUUUGCAGACAACUUUCUGCGAAAAUGAAGUUCGGAAAUCUACAGGGUCAAAGCAUGCACAAGCUAGUACUUUCAAAAUUUGAACUCCACAUUGUGUGAUCUAGUUUGAGCUAGGGAAGAGGAGACAAGCAUUUUGUCUCAAUGAUUAACUGCUCCCUGCCAAAAUGUUACAUUUGCACCCCUUUAACUUCCAAGUUGGACAAUUUUAUUAGUGAAAAACCACAACCCGAUUACAAGGCAUGCCAUAGCAAGGACUGAACAGAUUAACUUUGAACACUUGGAGUUAUUGUUCACUUAUUGAGCACUUAAGUUCCAUUGUGACCUCAAACUGCACAUACUGCAAUUUAACACACCUCUAUUUGAAUUACCUGCCUGAAACGAGUCCCUCAACACUCGUGCCAGGUUAAUGAAUUAGAAAACAGGAUUUGAAAGCAUUAAACUACGCACAAAGCAAACCAUAUAGAACGCAGCUUCUCUACAAACAUGCAAAGCAGAAGCCAAGGCAAUUGUGGCGAUGUUCAAUUGGCUAGUAAGAGUACAGCUUUACGUUUUCAAACAGUUCACUUCAGGGACACAAACCAACACCUUUGCAAAAAAAACUAAUACAUGCCAAACUUGCCAACACUAGGGAAUAACUAUUUUUUGUCCCAUAUGCACACUUAAUGGAUACAUAAGCACUUCAAAGAUUUAGCUGAAGAUGCAACACAGGAGCAGCAGAUAACAUAAACUUGGUUCACACUGACUGGUCUUGCUACUGUGAAAUAUGGUGGAAUUCACUUGCUCAAAGCAAGUCCUUCGAUAUCAGAAUUGUCACGAGUUACACGCAAAAUUGCUUGCAAAAGUUUGAGACUGAAGCAACAGUAAAAAAAAAGUUUGUAAACCAAGAGAAAUUAAGUGUGGCAGGUACGGCAACCGAAUCCUGCAAUGAACAUAGUGAAACAAAAACAGGGCUUCGCUGGCUGGGCAGGCACCAAACCAAGAAGCCCUGAAAGCAGCAACUGAGCCAAUGCAUUGGAAUGUGAUGCACUUUAUUCCAAUUUUUUUUCAAUCAAGUGAAGACCAGAUUUUUGACAAACGUACUACAACCCGUCGCUUGACAAGCUAUCGCUACAUGCAAGGUGUAAUGGCGGUGACAUGAUAUUGAUAGAUAUGCAAACACUUAUUAAAAACACUGAACCGCUGUAGUCAGCCCCUCUCUCGACACUUGUACACCAAGAUGACAGACAACUUUCUUUUCAUCCAAAGAGUG
rnacentral:misc_RNA from 1 species